AAGGGCUUAGCUUAAUUAAAGUAGUUGAUUUGCAUUCAGUUGAUGUAAGAUAGAGUCUUGCAGUCCUUA